CCGGAAGUGGCCCGCGGCCUCGCUCAUUGGCGCUAGCUUCACAGUAGCUAACCAGAUAGCACCUCUCCGCGGUUCGUAAAACAUUUGCGGGUCAGUAAGAGGUGAAAGUCCACUGCUGGGGUUGUUUUUUUUUGCGCCACAAACAUGACGAAGCACGAGUUUGAGGUGGCGAUGACCUGUGAGGGAUGCUCUGGAGCUGUUACCAGGAUCCUCAACAAGCUGGGAGAUGUGAAGUUUGAGAUCGACCUGCCUAAGAAACUGGUUUGGAUCGAGUCCGACAAAGAUGCGGACUUCCUCAUGGAGACGCUGAAGAAAUGUGGAAAGGAGGUCAAGUACAACGGCGCCAAAUGAAGGAAUCUGCGUUCACGUAGAGCGGGCGACAUGACUUUUCCGAGGAUUGAUGAUUAGGAUCGCCCGCAGACAUGAUUGACAGUAAAACCAGGCUGAUGCUGAAACCCAUUGCCUUCACUGCAGAACAACAAAGACUGAUCCUUUAACAGUUCUGCACUUCAGUAAGAACACACACUAUUGGUUAUACUUUCGUCAUCACUAUACGACAUAUCCAGCGGUUUGGAUAGAAAGUAUAAGAACCCUGCUCACUCACUGGAACCUGAAGGUGUGAAAAUGUUUCGGUUGCAUAAUAACUCCAUGCCUCCACCACCAGGAGGCGCUGUGUGAUAAAGAAGUGCACACUUUCUUUAGAGCUUUUAAUUGUUUAAAGUAAUGCAGCACUUGCUUCCUCUUUCAGCUGUAACUGAAGAGCGGGCUGCGAUACAGUCCGUUAAAAUGAAAUGUUCAGCAGCGUCGUCCUCUGCUUCACUCUCAGUUCUUCACACUGGUGAUCCUCAUAAAACUGCUGUGACUCAAAAACACUCACCACCGCUUUGAUUUCUUGUCAGGAGGAAAUAAAGUUUUGGACAUUCAGACGUGUGGGAGCAGACUCAAAUGCAAAUUAGUGAACUCCUCCAUUCCCAGUCAAAUCUGUUUAAAGUAUUUCCCUCCUGUGCCAAGUUAUAAAGUGAGUUCUCAUCUAUAUUUUAAGUUAUGUGAUCACAAACUUUAAGAUAACCCUUUUUUUUACGUCCCGAGGGGGAUAUUAAAGACCCCCUCCAUACAUGUAUUUAGACUUAAAGUCUGCUUGGAGCAGCAAUGUGUGUCUGAAGUCCAUUCUCAGUGUAUGGGCACUGGUGGGUUCAGGUUUCGACAUCACAAGUUGCAUACUGGACCAGGAUGGAUCAUUUAUGAUGUCACAAAUCCUGCUCGUAGGCCCCGCCCCUUUAAAAAUCCGAUUUUUCAAUGAGCACAGAGAAACUUUCAGCAGAUGAAUGUGAAAACAUCCCUCUAGUGUCAAAGUCUGCACACACAUCCUUCUGCACAGUGAGGCUCAAACAUCACACUGCAGGACCAAGAAGAACAACUGAUUUUUGAGUCAACGGGGACUUUAAGUUUUACAGCAGCACAAGAGACAGACCAGAGACGGAGGUAGGUACAAGAUACAGAUAAGUUAAAAAAAAGAUUAAGAGCAGAACAUUACAAUGCAGUUCCCUGAUAUUCCUGAGCAAAUAUAUACAUGAAAUAAACUGUAUAAGAAGGUGAUGUAUUAUAAUGUGAAUUUAAAGCUGCACAUUUUCUAUUUUUUAUCUGUUUGUCAGGCUGCUAUCACAGAAAGAUCCACAGCUGCACCACUUCCAGCCGGUUCAACCCUGGCGCCUUCGCCGCGAAUGACACCCAGCAGGACGGUCACCAGCGAGGCGUAGAAGAGGGUGGCACAGCAGAUGUAGAAGGUCCAGCCGAGGUGCUGCAGCAGCUCCGGCUCCUGCUGUUCGAUGGACACCAAGAAGGCGAUCAGAGCGGCGGCACAGAGAGCAACUGCAGAGGAGGACGGGACGCAUUACAUAAAACGUCCUACUACAUUCUGCAAUUUAAACUUUAAACUCUCCCUAAUUUAAACUUGACAUCAGCCCUGAGUGUUUACAGCUUCUCCUUAGGCGCCAAAAGUAGAACACUGUUUCCUAACAGGCUGAAUAUGUCUAAAUGCAAUGUGGUUUUAAACUUUAUACCUUUUAUCUGUGUUUUUUCCUCCAGUUUUCAAUAACAAUACGAGUACAAACCAAAAUAAGGUUUAAAGUUCAGAUGAUAAUGAUGAAUGAUGAAUGUUGAUGGUAACAUUUGAAAUUAAAAUGAAAUGUCACGGUGA